rnacentral:tRNA from 1 species
CGUCGACGACACCUCGGGGGUGGCCACCCUCAGGAGAUUGCGGGCAGUUCGGACUGCUGGAGUUCAGGCUCGGACUCCUGAGAUGACGC